rnacentral:rRNA from 1 species
GAUGAACGCUAGCGGCAGGCCUAAUACAUGCAAGUCGGACGGGAUUGAGGAGCUUGCUUCUCAUGAGAGUGGCGCACGGGUGCGUAACAUGUAUGUAACCUACCUUAGUCAGGGGGAUAGCCUCUCGAAAGAGAGAUUAACACCGCAUAACAUUAAGUUGUGGCAUCACAGUUUAAUCAAAUAUUUAUAGGACUAAGAUGGGCAUGCGGAACAUUAGCUAGUUGGUAAGGUAACGGCUUACCAAGGCAACGAUGUUUAGGGGAUCUGAGAGGAUGACCCCCCACACUGGUACUGAGACACGGACCAGACUCCUACGGGAGGCAGCAGUAAGGAAUAUUGGUAAAUGGACGCAAGUCUGAACCAGCCAUGCCGCGUGCAGGAAGACGGCCCUACGGGUUGUAAACUGCUUUUGUACCGGAAUAAACCUUUUCACGUGUGAGAAGCUGAAUGUACGGUAAGAAUAAGGAUCGGCUAACUCCGUGCCAGCAGCCGCGGUAA